UACGGGGGGAGCAAGCGUUGUUCGGAUUUACUGGGCGUAAAGGGCGCGUAGGCGGCCAGCACAAGUCAGUUGUGAAAUCUCCGGGCUUAACUCGGAAAGGUCAACUGAUACUGUGCGGCUAGAGUGCAGAAGGGGCAACUGGAAUUCUCGGUGUAGCGGUGAAAUGCGUAGAUAUCGAGAGGAACACCUGCGGCGAAGGCGGGUUGCUGGGCUGACACUGACGCUGAUGCGCGAAAGCCAGGGGAGCGAACGGGG
rnacentral:rRNA from 1 species